CCAGACUCCUACGGGAGGCAGCAGUGAGGAAUAUUGGUCAAUGGGCGGGAGCCUGAACCAGCCAAGCCGCGUGAAGGAAGAAGGCGCCAGGCGUCGUAAACUUCUUUUGUCGGGGAACAAAGGGCGCCACGUGUGGCGUUGUGAGUGUACCCGAAGAAAAAGCAUCGGCUAACUCCGUGCCAGCAGCCGCGGUAAUACGGAGGAUGCGAGCGUUAUCCGGAUUUAUUGGGUUUAAAGGGUGCGUAGGCGGCCCGGAAGACCGGCGGUAAAAGCCUGGGGCUCACCCCCGCGGAGCCGUUGAAACUGUCGGACUAGAGACGGCGAGAAGUACGCGGAAUGCGCGGUGUAGCGGUGAAAUGCAUGGAUAUCGCGCAGAACUCCGAUUGCGAAGGCAGCGUACCGGCGCCGGACUGACGCUGAGGCACGAAAGCGUGGGUAUCGGACAGGAUUAGAUACCCUGGUUUA
rnacentral:rRNA from 1 species